AUAUGUUGUGAAUGGUUUGCCCUAUAUAUAGUGUUACCUGCUGUGUCCAUUGUUGAAUCUAUUAUCGCCCUAUUUCGCUUUAUCUGCUUUUUAGUGUCCAGGACACAGAUGAAGAGGAUGUUAGUAUGCGUUGUCGAGAGGAACUGCCCUACAGUGACUGGCCAUAGUGAAUAGUGGAACUCCACAGGUGUGAGUCUGAUGUAUGCAAGAGAAAGUAUUUUCUAGGCAGUCCUGAGUGAACUGGCUUGUUAGAAUAUAUUUGUGCCCCUGUCUCAACAGAACUUGCUGGACCACCAGUAUCGUUGUUGUGGCCACUCCCUGAUGCAUUCUGAAGCCUGAUGUAUGUGGAGGAUUUCUUUUUAUGUAUUAAUCACUUAUAAUAUUCCUCCCUGUUCCUUCACUUUGUUCUUGUUUUUCCAGUUAGAUACACACACACACACACACACAUCUUGUUGUCUCACUCAGUAUUUUUUAUUAAACAAUAUUUGAUUCAUUUA